rnacentral:rRNA from 1 species
AUUGAACGCUGGCGGCAUGCCUUACACAUGCAAGUCGAACGGUAACAGGGAGCUUGCUCCGCUGACGAGUGGCGAACGGGUGAGUAAUAGUAUCGGAACGUACCAUUGAGUGGGGGAUAACGUAGCGAAAGUUGCGCUAAUACCGCAUAUUCUCUCCGGAGGAAAGCAGGGGACCGCAAGGCCUUGCGCUCAUUGAGCGGCCGAUAUCAGAUUAGCUAGUUGGUGGGGUAAAAGCUCACCAAGGCGACGAUCUGUAGCGGGUCUGAGAGGAUGAUCCGCCACACUGGAACUGAGACACGGUCCAGACUCCUACGGGAGGCAGCAGUGGGGAAUUUUGGACAAUGGGGGCAACCCUGAUCCAGCCAUGCCGCGUGAGUGAAGAAGGCCUUCGGGUUGUAAAGCUCUUUCAGCCGGGAAGAAAACGCAUUGGUUAAUACCUGAUGUGGAUGACGGUACCGGAAUAAGAAGCACCGGCUAACUACGUG